rnacentral:rRNA from 1 species
AGUCGAACGAUGAAGCUGGAGCUUGCUCUGGUGGAUUAGUGGCGAACGGGUGAGUAACACGUGAGUAACCUGCCCUUGACUCUGGAAUAAGCGUUGGAAACGACGUCUAAUACCGGAUACGAACUUCAGCCGCAUGGCUAGGAGUUGGAAAGAAUUUCGGUCAAGGAUGGACUCGCGGCCUAUCAGGUAGUUGGUGAGGUAAUGGCUCACCAAGCCUACGACGGGUAGCCGGCCUGAGAGGGUGACCGGCCACACUGGAACUGAGACACGGUCCAGACUCCUACGGGAGGCAGCAGUGGGGAAUAUUGCACAAUGGGCGAAAGCCUGAUGCAGCAACGCCGCGUGAGGGACGACGGCCUUCGGGUUGUAAACCUCUUUUAGUAGGGAAGAAGCGAAAGUGACGGUACCUGCAGAAAAAGCACCGGCUAACUACGUGCCAGCAGCCGCGGUAAUACGUAGGGUGCAAGCGUUAUCCGGAAUUAUUGGGCGUAAAGAGCUCGUAGGCGGUUUGUCGCGUCUGCUGUGAAACCCCGAGGCUCAACCUCGGGCCUGCAGUGGGUACGGGCAGACUAGAGUGCGGUAGGGGAGAUUGGAAUUCCUGGUGUAGCGGUGGAAUGCGCAGAUAUCAGGAGGAACACCAAUGGCGAAGGCAGAUCUCUGGGCCGUUACUGACGCUGAGGAGCGAAAGCAUGGGGAGCGAACAGGAUUAGAUACCCUGGUAGUCCAUGCCGUAAACGUUGGGAACUAGAUGUAGGGACCAUUCCACGGUUUCUGUGUCGCAGCUAACGCAUUAAGUUCCCCGCCUGGGGAGUACGGCCGCAAGGCUAAAACUCAAAGGGAAUUGACGGGGGCCCGCACAAGCGGCGGAGCAUGCGGAUUAAUUCGAUGCAACGCGAAGAACCUUACCAAGACUUGACAUAUACGAGAACGGGCCAGAAAUGGUCAACUCUUUGGACACUCGUAAACAGGUGGUGCAUGGUUGUCGUCAGCUCGUGUCGUGAGAUGUUGGGUUAAGUCCCGCAACGAGCGCAACCCUCGUUCUUUGUUGCCAGCACGUAAUGGUGGGAACUC